CACUAGAUAGCUAAAAGCAAGCAAUGGAAUUUUAAAUCAUACUAUGGUAGGAUAGCGUCUACUUUUAGUG
rnacentral:tRNA from 1 species